GGCCGCUUGGCCCAAUGGUUAAGGCGUCUGACUACGACCGAGCACGGUAUCUAAUCUCACCAUAUGAUGUGGUACGAAAACGUGCUUGAUAUAGCUAAUCAGGAGAUUCUGGGUUCGACUCCCAGGGUGGCCU